rnacentral:rRNA from 1 species
UACGGAGGAGGCAAGCGUUAUCCGGAAUUAUUGGGCGUAAAGCGUCCGCAGGUGGCACCUCAAGUCUGCUGUCAAAGACCGGGGCUUAACCCCAGAAAGGCAGUGGAAACUGAAGUGCUAGAGUGCAGUAGGGGUAGAGGGAAUUCCCGGUGUAGCGGUGAAAUGCGUAGAUAUCAGGAAGAACACCGGUGGCGAAGGCAGGUCUCUGGGCCACUACUGACGCUGAGAAGCGAAAGCAUGGGGAGCGAACAGG